GAAUAUCAAUAAUGACCUGUGUUGACAUGAAUAUCAAUAAUGAGGUCAUUUGAUACAAAUUUCCUGUUUACAAAACUUUGAACAGGAAAUUUGUAUCAAAUGACCUCAUUAUUGAUAUGCAUGUCAACACCGAAGUGUUGACA
rnacentral:sRNA from 1 species